UCUUGGUCAUUUAGAGGAAGUAAAAGUCGUAACAAGGUUUCCGUAGGUGAACCUGCGGAAGGAUCAUUAACGAGUAAACAAGGGAGUUGUUGGCUGGCCGCAAGGCAUGUGCACGCUCUCCACUCAAUCCAACCUUACACCUGUGCAUUUACUGUAGGUUCAGAUGUUGUGGGGAUCUCCCGUAUCGUCUUGCCUAUGUUUCACACAUACACUUGUAGUCUCAGAAUGUAAUCUGCGUGUAACGCAUCUUAAAACAACUUUCAACAACGGAUCUCUUGGCUCUCGCAUCGAUGAAGAACGCAGCGAAAUGCGAUAAGUAAUGUGAAUUGCAGAAUUCAGUGAAUCAUCGAAUCUUUGAACGCAUCUUGCGCUCCUUGGUAUUCCGAGGAGCAUGCCUGUUUGAGUGUCAUGAAAUUCUCAACUCACCCAGUUUUUGUGACUGUGUGAGCUUGGACUUGGGGGUAUGCCGGCUGCAAAGUCGGCUCCUCUCUAAAUGCAUUAGCUGAACCCGUUGCGGAUCAGUACUCGGUUUGAUAAUUGUCUAUGCCGUGUCUGUGAAGCUCUUUGGUUGGUUAGCUUCUAAACUGUCCUUUGGACAACUCUUGACAAUUUGACCUCAAAUCAGGUAGGGUUACCCGCUGAACUUAAGCAUAUCAAUAAG
rnacentral:rRNA from 1 species